GCGGCCCCAGGAUGGGCGAGGCCACCCGCCGAGUUUAAGCAUAUCAAUAAGCGGAGGAGAAG
rnacentral:rRNA from 1 species